rnacentral:rRNA from 1 species
CACGCCNUAAACGAUGUCUACUAGUUGUCGGGGAUUAAUUUCCUUGGUAACGCAGCUAACGCGUGAAGUAGACCGCCUGGGGAGUACGGUCGCAAGAUUAAAACUCAGAGGAAUUGACGGGGACCCGCACAAGCGGUGGAUGAUGUGGAUUAAUUCGAUGCAACGCGAAAAACCUUACCUACGCUUGACAUGUCCGGAACCCUGAAGAGAUUUGGGGGUGCUCGAAAGAGAGCCGGAACACAGGUGCUGCAUGGCUGUCGUCAGCUCGUGUCGUGAGAUGUUGGGUUAANNNNNNCAACGAGCGCAACCCUUAUCAUUAGUUGCUACGCAAGGGCACUCUAAUGAGACUGCCGGUGACAAACCGGAGGAAGGUGGGGAUGACGUCAAGUCCUCAUGGCCCUUAUGUGUAGGGCUUCACACGUCAUACAAUGGUCGGUACAGAGGGUUGCGAAGCCGCGAGGUGGAGCCAAUCCCAAAAAACCGAUCGUAGUCCGGAUUGCAGUCUGCAACUC